rnacentral:rRNA from 1 species
GAUGAACGCUGGCGGCGUGCCUAAUACAUGCAAGUCGAGCGAACAGAUGAGGAGCUUGCUCCUCUGACGUUAGCGGCGGACGGGUGAGUAACACGUGGAUAACCUACCUAUAAUACGGGGAUAACUUCGGGAAACCGGCGCUAAUACCGUAGAAUAUAUUGAACCGCAUUGUUCAAUAGUGAAAGACGGUUUUUCGGUAACUUAUAGAUGGAUCCGCGCCGCAUUAGCUAGUUGGUGAGGUAACGGGGUACGACGGCAACGAUGCGUAGCCGAACGGAGAGGGUGGUCGGCCACACUGGGAGGGAGACACGGUCCAGAGUCCUACGGGUGGCGCCCGGAGGGAAUCGGGCGGAAGGGGCGAAAGACUGACGGAGCAGCGCGGAGUGAUGGAGGAAGGUCGCCGGAUCGGAAAACUCUGUUUUUGGGGAAGAACCAAUGUGUACGUGACUAGGCACGUCUUGACGGUAAAUAAGCAGAAAGCCACGGCUAACUACGUG